UACGUAGGGUGCGAGCGUUAAUCGGAAUUACUGGGCGUAAAGUGUGCGCAGGCGGCCGCGCAAGUCGAGUGUGAAAGCCCCGGGCUUAACUUGGGAAUGCGCUCGAAACUACGUGGCUGGAGUGUGGCAGAGGAAGGUGGAAUUCCACGUGUAGCGGUGAAAUGCGUAGAGAUGUGGAGGAACACCAAUGGCGAAGGCAGCUCUCUGGGACGGUACUGACGCUGAGACGCGAAAGCGUGGGGAGCGAACAGG
rnacentral:rRNA from 1 species